rnacentral:sRNA from 1 species
CCCAGGUCGGACGAUUGUAUCCUACCCAUUUGAUGAGGUAUUCACAGCAGUGGCGGUUGGUUCUAUUGUCAAGGAUUGCUUUGAUUUCCCACUUGAGUUUGUUGUCUUCUUCUACAAUGGCAGGUGGCUGCCAAUCGGAGGUUCUCUGUGAGGGGAAUGGAUCCUCAGCUGUGGGUCGGAGCAGGUUCAUAUGAAAGAUAUUGUGGAUGCCAGGUGGGGUGUUGAGUCAAUAAUUGUGUGUGCCUAGCACUUCCUUCACUGUAUACUUGGUGUGGUGGUAAUCUAGCAUACGCGAGGGGCAGUCUGUUCUUAUGUUUUUGAGGUCCAGCCAGACUUUGUCUCCUACAUGGUAUCAGGUCACAGGACUCCUCCUGGUGUUCACUUGAUCCUUGUAAUCUUGCUGAGUGCUGGCCAUUGAAGCUUCUGCCCAUUUGUGGGCUUUCUUCAGCUUACUCACAAUGUUCUCUGCCAUCUGUAU